CAGUUGACCUGGGUAAACUCAACACUGAGAAAUACAGUAACAGUUGACCUGGGUAAACUCAACACUGAGAAAUACAGUAACAGUUGACCUGGAUAAACUCAACACUGAGAAAUACAGUAACAGUUGACCUGGGUAAACUCAACACUGAGAAAUACAGUAACAGUUGACCUGGAUAAACUCAACACUGAGAAAUACAGUAACAGUUGAUUGUCUUGAUCAAGGGUGCAUAAACUCAGGCCCUCGACGUCCACAGUCCUGCUAGGUUAGUGUUUCUCCCUGGUUCUUAUGAUCAACUAAUGAUUGGCUGACGUGUGCACACACCUCGUUUCCCAGCGACAAAUCAAUCUCUGGUAACAAGGCAAGGAUGAAAAAACUGUCCUUUUCACACUACAGAGUCGAUCUAAGCCAAGCUGAACUGGCCUGCAAAGGACAAGGUGAUAAGAAUGGUUAGAUGGUUAGGAUCAGAACAACAGUGUGACUAGGUUAAAGGAGUAGAACCAGAACAGUAUGGUUAUGAUCAGAAUGGCAGUGUGAUUAGGUUAAAGGAGUAGAACCAGACCAGUAUGGUUAGGAUCAGAACGACAGUGUGACUAGGUUAAAGGAGUAGAACCAGAACAGUAUGGUUAUGAUCAGAAUGGCAGUGUGAUUAGGUUAAAGGAGUAGAACCAGACCAGUAUGGUUAGGAUCAGAACGACAGUGUGACUAGGUUAAAGGAGUAGAACCAGAACAGUAUGGUUAGGAUCAGAACGACAGUGUGAUUAGGUUAAAGGAGUAGAACCAGAACAGUAUGGUUAGGAUCAGAACGACAGUGUGAUUAGGUUAAAGGAGUAGAACCAGAACAGUAUGGUUAGGAUCAGAACGAGUGUGAUUAGGUUAAAGGAGUAGAACCAGAACAGUAUGGUUAUGAUCAGAAUGGCAGUGUGAUUAGGUUAAAGGAGUAGAACCAGACCAGUAUGGUUAGGAUCAGAACGACAGUGUGACUAGGUUAAAGGAGUAGAACCAGAACAGUAUGGUUAGGAUCAGAACGAGUGUGAUUAGGUUAAAGGAGUAGAACCAGAACAGUAUGGUUAUGAUCAAAUUCAGCUCCUUACGUUCUUGAACUAAGUUUAGCACCCUAAUAAAAAAACUACAUAUCAGAAUAUAUCAAAUAUAUAUUUUGUGUCUCUCUGGAUCAGAGCCUCUACUUGUCUUACAAGAGUAUUACUAUGCAAUAUACAAGCUGGACUUUAAAGUCUUUCGCUUCCCUCAAUACUCCUCACCUUCAGAAGUGUCUUUGGAGCAGAAUCAAGUCAAACUACAAGAAACCCAAGAAUUACAAGUCAUACUUAUAAUUGACCUGUAAGCAGCUAGUUGAAACUGUCAUCACAGUUCAAGGAACAGGAUCCUGGGUGUGUUAAUACAGCACUUGAACCAUAAGGCACUUCUUACAGUACUUAUCAGUAUAAUGAUAGGUCACCUAUAAUAAGGCACUUCUUACAGUACUUAUCAGUAUAAUGAUAGGUCACCU
ensembl:lncRNA